rnacentral:snRNA from 1 species
GGAUGUGAGGGCGAUCUGGCUGUGACAUCUAUCACCCCACUGAUCGCCAGGGUUGAGUCGUCUGAUCUGGCUGGCUAGGCGGGUGUCCCCUUCCUCCCUCAACAAUCCAUGUGCAUCCCUCCCAAAGCUGCAUGCUUGGUCGAAGAGGAUGACCACCCCCGACAGAGGAGGACCGUUGCUUGGUCAAGAGUAGCUGUGCUCUCCUGCUAGAACCUCCAAACAAGCUCUCAAAAUCCUAAUAGUUUCUGGUUGCAAAGAGGGAUCUGAUUGGAUAAGACCUCCACUUCAAUGCUUUAAGGUAAGGGGCCACCUUAGGGCCAU